rnacentral:rRNA from 1 species
AAUAGAUACCCCGGUAGUCCACGCCGUAAACGAUGAUUACUCGCUGUUGGCGAUACACUGUCAGCGGCUAAGCAAAAGCAAUAAGUAAUCCACCUGGGGAGUACGGCCGCAAGGUUGAAACUCAAAGGAAUUGACGGGGGCCCGCACAAGCGGAGGAACAUGUGGUUUAAUUCGAUGAUACGCGAGGAACCUUACCUGGGCUUAAAUGUAGAGUGCAUUUUCUAGAGAUAGGAAUUCCCUUCGGGGCUUUCUGCAAGGUGCUGCAUGGUUGUCGUCAGCUCGUGCCGUGAGGUGUCGGGUUAAGUCCCAUAACGAGCGCAACCCUUAUCGUUAGUUGCCAUCUGGUAAAGCAGGGGACUCUAGCGAAACUGCCACCGUAAGGUGAGAGGAAGGUGGGGAUGACGUCAAAUCAGCACGGCCCUUAUGUCCAGGGCUACACACGUGUUACAAUGGUCGGUACAGAGGGCAGCUACCUGGUGACAGGAUGCUAAUCUCGAAAACCGGUCUCAGUUCGGAUCGAAGUCUGCAACUCGACUUCGU